GAUGAACGCUGGCGGCGUGCCUAAUACAUGCAAGUCGAGCGAACGGACGAGAAGCUUGCUUCUCUGAUGUUAGUGGCAGACGGGUGAGUAACACGUGGAUAACCUACCUAUAAGACUGGGAUAACUUCGGGAAACCGGAGCUAAUACCGGAUAAUAUUUUGAACCGCAUGGUUCAAAAGUGAAAGACGGUCUUGCUGUCACUUAUAGAUGGAUCCGCGCUGCAUUAGCUAGUUGGUAAGGUAACGGCUUACCAAGGCAACGAUGCAUAGCCGACCUGAGAGGGUGAUCGGCCACACUGGAACUGAGACACGGUCCAGACUCCUACGGGAGGCAGCAGUAGGGAAUCUUCCGCAAUGGGCGAAAGCCUGACGGAGCAACGCCGCGUGAGUGAUGAAGGUCUUCGGAUCGUAAAACUCUGUUAUUAGGGAAGAACAUAUGUGUAAGUAACUGUGCACAUCUUGACGGUACCUAAUCAGAAAGCCACGGCUAACUACGUG
rnacentral:rRNA from 1 species